CUGAGGUUACCAGUUUUUUGACUACUCCGUCUAUUUAAAUAAAAACUAUUUUUGUAAAGAUUUAUGACUGUUAGCCUAACUUGAAUCGACGAUGUGAACGGAUAUUACAUAUGUAUCUCUAUUUUGAAGGAGUUAUUUAGGUUGGUUGAAGUGGUUCUAAAUUUACAUUGUCUGCGAGCCGUGGUUAUGGAUCCCUAUAACAAUAUUUGUUUGCUGGCGUCAGGAAGUAGUUUUUGUUGAUAGACUGAUAGCGAAUGUAGGUGGAAGCUUAUAACGUCUAUGCUAUAUGCUAGAUUAUAGUUUAACAAAUUAAACAAAAAUAAAAUACCGUUAUAUGGAAGAUUGUUUUGGAUGCAGCACAUUUACGCCUAAGCUACUCCUAAAAAAUUGUCCAGGCAAAAUUUGUACCAAAUUCAGUGCGACUUGCUGUAGUGGUUUGUGAGUUAUACGCAUUUAUUCAAAAAAGUGUCACGCCCAUUUUUUAAAAAGUUGGAGAAUGCAAAAAUAUUAGCAUGGUAUCCACUUUUUUUAGUCAUUUUGGAAUA